rnacentral:rRNA from 1 species
AACGAACGCUGGCGGCGCGUCUUAAGCAUGCAAGUCGAACGGCAAGAGAGGAGCUUGCUUCUCUCCUAGAGUGGCGGACUGGUGAGGAACACGUGGGUAAUCUACCCUUAAGAUGGGGAUAGCUGCUAGAAAUAGCAGGUAAUACCGAAUACACUCGGCAUAUAACAAGAGGUGUUGAGGAAAGGAAGCUACGGCUUCGCUUGAGGAUGAGCUUGCGUCCCAUUAGCUAGUUGGGGAGGUAAAGGCCCACCAAGGCGACGAUGGGUAUCCGGCCUGAGAGGGUGAACGGACACAUUGGGACUGAGAUACGGCCCAAACUCCUACGGGAGGCAGCAGCUAAGAAUAUUCCGCAAUGGACGGAAGUCUGACGGAGCGACGCCGCGUGGAUGAAGAAGGCUGAAAAGUUGUAAAAUCCUUUUGUUGAUGAAGAAUAAGGGUGAGAGGGAAUGCUCAUCUGAUGACGGUAAUCGACGAAUAAGCCCCGGCUAAUUACGUG